CAGCAGCCGCGGUAAUACGAAGGGUGCAAGCGUUGAUCGGAAUUACUGGGCGUAAAGCGUGCGUAGGCGGUGAGUUAAGUCUGCUGUGAAAUCCCCGGGCUCAACCUGGGAAUGGCAGUGGAUACUGGCUCGCUAGAGUGUGUCAGAGGAUGGUGGAAUUCCCGGUGUAGCGGUGAAAUGCGUAGAGAUCGGGAGGAACAUCAGUGGCGAAGGCGGCCAUCUGGGACAACACUGACGCUGAGGCACGAAAGCGUGGGGAGCAAACAGGAUUAGAUACCCCCGUAGUCCCUGUCUCUUAUAC
rnacentral:rRNA from 1 species